GCAUGGCCAGAUUUACGGGGGAUCUACUGUGGUCCUUCCAUAGUGUACUCCAUGCAAGAGCAAUUAACCACCUCGAACCAUUGUUGGGCCUCGUAACCAUAGGCUUGUUCACUGAAGUAGGUGGGACAAUG
rnacentral:snoRNA from 1 species